AAAGUGCGCGAAGAGACCGCAGCCUUCUGGGAAAUCUGCUGAGGAAUCCCGCAGUACUGGAGAGAGCCAUCUUGAACUCUACUUGCAGAUAUUGCACCAGUACCUUUAAGGAGAGAAGCUGAACAAGGGUAAAACAGAGGAGGUGUCUGCUUAUGGGAUGGCCCUGUAAACUCUGCACAGGGGAGAAUGCCAGAUGGAUAAUACAUCAGUGUCUACAUAUAACCGUGCGUCCACACCGAACGCGACGCGAGCGACAAAGCAGCCGGAAGUCAUUCAUUUUCAAUUAGAGCCAGCGACACUGGGCGACAGGCAGCGACGCGGCGCGACGCGAUGCGAAGCGGGCGGUUUGAGCGACGCGAGAGAGUUGACCAGAACUUAACUUUAUGCAAAUGAGCAGCGACGCGCGGCGGCGACUACCAAUCAGAAACAGAUUCUCAUAUGUUCGGCCUGAAAUCGCUGCUCUGAUUUUCGGUUCCUACUGAAGAUUUAUUCCGCCAGCAAAACGGAGAGAACAGAACUGAACUGAACUGAGCUGAUCUGAGGUAAAAUACUCCACUACACCAGCAGCUACCCCACUAUAGUACUAUCCUUACAGAAUUACCUUUUUUAAUAGAAAACUAUAUAUUAAAACUGAGGAAAUUAUUUAUUAAAUUAACAGAUUUAUGACAACUAAAGAAUAUUUUUUAAAAUUAACAGAACCUUUUAUUGAAACAAAGGGAAUUAUUUAUUAAAGUUAACAUAACGAUUUAUUACAACUGAAGAAAGUAUUUAACACAUUUAACGUAACGAUUUAUUCAAACUGAGGUAUGGAAUUUGGAACGAUUUAGUUAAAUCUGAGAGAAUUAUUUAUUACAUUUUACAGAAAGAUUUAUUAAAACUGAGGGAAUUAUUUAUUAAAUUAAGAGAAAGACUGUUUAUUAAAUCAAGAGGAUUAUUUAAUAUAUUUAAGUAAACAUAUUAAUUACAUCCAAGGAAUAAUUUAUUACAUUAAGUUAACAAUACUAUACAACAAUACUACUAACAACACUAUUUUAAAUUAUGGACAAAUAUAUUUAUAUUAUAUAAUAUAUUGUAAGAGAAUGAUUUACUACAUUAAGGAAAAUAAUGUAUUAUAUUUAAGUAAACCCAUUUAUUGUAAUAUGAAAUAGUUAUGUUAAAUAAUUGUACUUAAUAAUAGUUAUAAAAUAUAUAAAGAUUUAUUGUUUGUGAAACGUCUGUACGACUGUUUAUGGUUUAGGAAUUGUGUAGAUAGGCUGAACCCUUGUUUCUGUACGUGCCGUAUUAGGAAAACGCCCACCAGCGACAGCUCGUUCUGAGUGAGACACGCCCACAAGCGACUCAUCGCCUGUUGCACAGGCGACACAGAGCGAUUUUAUCGCGUUCGGUGUGAACGUACAGUAACCCACAUAAAUUGCACUGGGUUAUUGGGUGCAGUUUGCCCCCAGUCCACUAGAGGGUGCUGUGGCGCAUGUAAAGGAGUGCAUCGCCACUUAGAAGAAGACUUCAUGAGCACAUUUUCUCUUCAGUAGUAGAUAGAGCUUUCAGGAGUAAUAGAAAGAUAAAGAUUUAACAACAUCUUGACAUUUAACCAUUCCUUUUCGAUUCAAUCCUUUGUUUUACUCAUUCAAGAAGAAGUUUUCAUUUGAAUUACCACUCUAGAGCGUUUAAUCAUUGAAUCUCCGAUUGGUUUUUUUGUUGUGCAUCUUCUGCCACAAUUAAGAGAGAGAGAGAGAGAGAGAUACGGCGAGCCUGUGACCUUCCUAAGGACUGUGACCAGCGUGUGUUCGUGUCAACCUGCAAGCCUGUGACUUGGACGCAUCCUGUUUGCAUUCCCUUGGAUUACAGAUAAGAAUUAAGAUACACCUCACUCACAUACUACCCGGGUAGUGAUUCAAAAAGGCCUUGUUUUCAUUUUUUGUUCAUUGAUCUAUUCAAAGUACGUACGAAGACUUUUUUUUUCAAUUUUUUCUACUUUUUCCCCUUCGUGUGGAAUUAAAGAGCAUUUAUUGAACUUUGAACCGAAACUUUGAGUUUGAACAUUGAGGUUGGAUAUUGAACUUUGGGGUUGAACUUUAUUGCACCUUGUUCUACAUUGGGUAACUGACUGACUAUACAUUUUACUGACUGACUAAGGGUUUUACAUUUUCUAUUGUGGUUACUGAUAUCUUUUCCCUGUGUGCUACAAUAAAUGUUACUCCUUUUUUUUCUUCAUCUAAAUUCUGGUCAUUGCCAAUUCUCUCCCUGUAGCCGAACCUAGCUCUGAUGACUCUAGUAAUAUAGUAGUCCCAUAUAUUAUGUUAAGAUAGAAGCGUUACAUACACAAGACACUAUUCUGCUGUACCCUUGUGAAAGCACCCAUAGAACAUUUUGGCCAGAUGAAAUCUUCAUUCCUCUUUUCUCUGGGGCAACCGAGGCAAUUUUGAGGAACGCCAGUGAAUUUCUCCAAAAUGUUGCUUUGCAGAACCAUACUCUGGUAAAGUCUGAAAUAAUGGAAAAAUUAGCAGACUAUAUGUACAGCUACACAGCCUACCCCAAAGGCCUUCAGACUGGUCAGGUAGCAGAGGCUUUAGUGAAAAAGCACCCAUGUCUGACAGAACCAGGCAGUCGUAAUGGAUGGAUAGGAUGGAUGUAUAGUCUCAAGUACAAGAUGGGAAAUUACAGAUCAAAGCUCAGAAGUUUUGGAUUCCCUGAGGUUACCCGCAACUCAUUUAAGAACAAGCACCCUGAUGACCAGUCUCCAGCAAAAAAUAUAAAGAAAGCAAGGAAAGGAGAAGUGCUGUUUCUUCCACACUAUCCAGUAGGAGACAGCAAGGAACAGCAAGAGCUGGACCGAUGUCAAUUAAUUGCCAAAUCAAAGAAGAAAGACAGCACAGCCAUCAAGGACUUGAUGUGUAGAACAUUUGCACAUAGAAGACAUGAUGUCGUUACCCUACAGAUGAGCAUCAAAGACCUCAAGAACAGAUGGCCUGCCUUGUUUAAUGUCUCGCAAGUCAGCGCAGAGUUUCAGAGAAUCACCACACUGACUCUCGAGCCAAAGUUCUUUUCAGCGUUGGAUCGCUAUUCUCCUAAAUUGCUGUCCCUGUUCCAAGCGAAGAAGGCUGCUGCAGGAGAAAGACAUCGAGCUCAAAUGAGUACUCUUCUUCAGGAGUUAUAAUUUGACCCCCACCUAUUCUGUUGGUUUAUUAACUGCCUUAAACAUAAUUUCAUCAUUGCCAUUUCUUCUAAUCAUCAGUAAUUAUUACAGAUAUUCAUAUGUAGUGCAUAUAAAACAAUAAGGACAGCCCAAGAGAAGCUUUGUCCUUUUAACAUACAGUAUUUAUACAUACAGGAAUUUGACUGUUUUAACAAUAAAGUUUUGGGUAAAAUAUAUUUUUAAAAUUAUUAAAACUGUCAUUUGCAGUAUUUUUGUCUGCUUAUGCAUUUGAUUUUAUCAUGAGAAUUUCUAAGAAUUACUUUUACAUUAAACAAAUGUAAGCCAUUUUUAUUUGUUGCAUCCUGCUUUCACUAGUUAAAGGAGAACUCCGGUGUAAAAUGGACUUUGGGUGUAGUGAAACAUGAUUACGAGUACUAAACUUUGAAAGUGCACAAGAAGUGUAUUACAUCGCAUAGCACUGAGCUAAUUCUUCAGACACCGCCAUCUUAAAGUUAAUUCACAGCAAGUCGAGUCACGAGCAUGAAUGAAUAGGUAGGAUGGGGAACCAUUUUCAAAAUGAAUUCAGUGGAAAUGCAUGAAUUCCAGCUGUUGCUGAAAAUAUCUGGUUACUGGCGAUAUGAGAUGGAAAAGUUCCAAUAACAAAUAAACAUAGUUCAAAAUGUUUUACCAUUCGUGCUCGACUGGCGACUUGCCGUGACUUAACUUAAGAUGGCGGUACCUGGAGAACUAGCUUAGUGCUACGCGACGUAAACAGUCUAUUUUAAUAAACCUCUUGUGCACUUUCAAAUUACUUAAUGCCUCAUUUUAGAUGCCAAGGCUCUCUGAAUUCUACCAAUGAAGUGUGGAGCUAUUUUGAGCUUGUUAGCGGUGGCAAAAAAAAAAGCUUGAAAAAAGUUCUGAAUUCUGGAAUGCUGUCUGCAAACGUUGGUUGGUAAUUCAACAAAGGUUAGUACUCGUAAUUACUUCACUACAUCUGAUGUCCAUUUCACAUGGGAGUUCUCCUUUAAAGUGAAGGUGAAUGGUAAUUUGUUUAAAUGGGGUGUCCUAUAUUUCUUACGACUAUCAUUUGUGUAAAGUUAGGAAAGAGGUUCAGCUGUAAAUCAAAGUGUAAAACUCAAAAUAAAGGCUGAAUUACAUAGGCUGAAUAAUUAACUUGCAUGCCUUGAAACUGAAGUUUUUAAUCUAUAACACCUGCUGAGCUCUCUCUAAA